rnacentral:rRNA from 1 species
AACGAACGCUGGCGGCAGGCCUAACACAUGCAAGUCGAGCGCCCUCUUCGGAGGGAGCGGCGGACGGGUUAGUAACGCGUGGGAACGUGCCCAGAUCUAAGGAAUAGCCACUGGAAACGGUGAGUAAUACCUUAUACGCCCUUCGGGGGAAAGAUUUAUCGGAUUUGGAUCGGCCCGCGUUAGAUUAGGUAGUUGGUGGGGUAACGGCCUACCAAGCCUACGAUCUAUAGCUGGUUUUAGAGGAUGAUCAGCAACACUGGGACUGAGACACGGCCCAGACUCCUACGGGAGGCAGCAGUCGGGAAUAUUGGACAAUGGGGGAAACCCUGAUCCAGCCAUGCCGCGUGAGUGAUGAAGGCCUUAGGGUUGUAAAGCUCUUUCGCUGGGGAAGAUAAUGACGGUACCCAGUAAAGAAGCCCCGG